AGAGCUUCUGAUUAUAACUGGAACAAGAUGAAAACACGCUCUGAAUAAUGAACAUGUCCUCCUAAACUAUGACCUGAGAUACCUCUCCUCCGCCGCGUCAGAGGUCGCCUCCAGUGGCGGCGGAGAGCCAAUGUCCAAAAUUCACUCACCGCUACAAUCGUUUCAUGCUCCUAUAUUCAUAUCUGAUAUUAAUUUUCCUCCAUUCCAACCCUAGAGCCUAAACCGAAUCUAAAUCGUGCAAGAACCCUAGGUACAUAAAAGAUAAAAUAAAUUAUCAUCUCAGGGAAUCAAAGCCCAAGAGGUUGGGGCUUUGAUUCCCUAUACCUUAACUCACUUGUUCAUAACUGAAUUGAAGUGAAAAGGGAAAAAGAAGGCUUACGCUGCCAGAGAAGGUGAAGACAAUAGUGAGAUUCCGGGUAUGCAAAAGUGGGGAUUUGAAUUGAACAAGGCCUAAGCAUGAAGAAACAUGAGAACAUGGUGAAUACAACAUUAUAACCUAAUGGAUACUUGAAGAUUCAAAAAGAUGACUUGUGGAAAAGUGAAAAGGAAUUAGGGUUUAGGAUGGGCAAAAUAGUCAUUUGACAUUGGUCAACUGGUUGACCAAAAAAUCAACCGUUGAUCAAAAGUCAACUUAGGUAGAAAAUAGUAUUUUUUGUAUGGAAUGAUUUGUAAUUACUUUGAUCUAUUGUAAUGGAUUUGAUAUUAUUUUGAAAUGGAUAUGAAAAUGACUUUGAAUGCAAA